rnacentral:rRNA from 1 species
UACGUAGGGGGCGAGCGUUGUCCGGAUUUAUUGGGCGUAAAGAGCUCGUAGGCGGUUUGGUAAGUCGGGUGUGAAAUCUCCACGCUCAACGUGGAGGGGCCACUCGAUACUGCCAUGACUCGAGUCCGGUAGAGGAGUGUGGAAUUCCCGGUGUAGCGGUGAAAUGCGCAGAUAUCGGGAGGAACACCCGUAGCGAAGGCGGCACUCUGGGCCGGAACUGACGCUGAGGAGCGAAAGCCAGGGGAGCAAACGGG